CAGGGAAUCUUCCGCAAUGGGCGAAAGCCUGACGGAGCAACGCCGCGUGAGUGAUGAAGGUCUUCGGAUCGUAAAACUCUGUUAUUAGGGAAGAACAAAUGUGUAAGUAACUAUGCACGUCUUGACGGUACCUAAUCAGAAAGCCACGGCUAACUACGUGCCAGCAGCCGGGGUAAUACGUAGGUGGCAAGCGUUAUCCGGCAUUAUUGGGCGUAAAGCGCGCGUAGGCGGUUUUUUAAGUCUGAUGUGAAAGCCCACGGCUAAAACGUGAAGGGUCAGUGGAAACUGGAAAACUUGAGUGCAGAAGAGGAAAGUGGAAUUCCAUGUGUAGCGGUGAAAUGCGCAGAGAUAUGGAGGAACACCAGUGGCGAAGGCGGCUUUCUGGUCUGUAACAGACACUGAUGUGCGAAAGCGUGGGGAUCAAACAGG
rnacentral:rRNA from 1 species